rnacentral:rRNA from 1 species
AGGCUUUCGGGUCGUAAACCCCUUUUCUCGGGGAAGAGUGAGGACGGUACCCGAGGAAUAAGCCUCGGCUAACUACGUGCCAGCAGCCGCGGUAAUACGUAGGAGGCGAGCGUUGUCCGGAUUUACUGGGCGUAAAGGGCGAGUAGGCGGCCUGAUAAGUCUCAUGUGUUAUCUCCCGGCUUAACUGGGAGGGGUCAUGGGAAACUGUCAGGCUUGAGGGCAGUAGAGGAGAGUGGAAUUCCCGGAGUAGCGGUGAUAUGCGUAGUUGCCGGGAGGAACACCCGAGGCGAAGGCGACUCUCUGGGCUGCACCUGACGCUGAGGCGCGAAAGCAUGGGGAGCGAACCGGAUUAGAUACCCGGGUAGUCCAUGCCCUAAACGAUGGAUACUAGGUAUGGGGGGUAUCGACCCCCUCCGUGCCGUAGCUAACGUGAUAAGUAUCCCGCCUGGGGAGUACGGCCGCAAGGCUAAAACUCAAAGGAAUUGACGGGCCCCCGCACAAGCAGCGGAGCGUGUGGUUUAAUUCGAUGAUAAGCGAAGAACCUUACCAGGGCUUGACAUGCUUCUGAAAUCCCGGGAAACCGGGCCAGUCUUCGGGACAGAUGCACAGAUGUUGCAUGGCCGUCGUCAGCUCGUGCCGUGAGGUGUUGGGUUAAGUCCCGCAACGAG